AUAGUUAUGUUCUUGAAACCCAAAGAAUUUGGCGGUAUUUUAUUUCUUUUUAGAGGAACCUGUCCUGUAAUUGAUAAUCCACGAUAGGAGUUACUUAUUUUUGUUUUCAUUUUGUAUACCUCCGUCAUCAGAGUAUCCUUUUAGGGACUAAUAUUCUUAUUAUAUAAAAUAUUAUAUGUCAGGUCAAGGUGCAAUUUAUAAAUAAGUAGAGAUGGGUUACAAUAAAUUUAUUUAAAUGGAUUAUUAAUUUUAAUGUUAAUAUGAAGGUGGAUUUAAAAGUAAAAUUAUUUUAUUUGUUAAUUUGACUAUAGCUCUAAAAUAUGCACACAUCGCCCGUCGCUCUUAUUUUAAAAUAAGAUAAGUCGUAACAUAGUAGGUGUACCGGAAGGUGUUCCU
rnacentral:rRNA from 1 species